rnacentral:lncRNA from 1 species
GCUCUUUCCCCAGAGGGGUGGCUCUGACUGGUGACUUCCUGUGAGCAGGCCUGGGCACCAGUUCGAUCCUAGAACUCGAGCCUGGAGGAGUUCCCUCCGACAGCUUCCUUGAGCCAGUCAUGUGUUGGAGAAAACUGAAAAAUAUCAAGAUAGUCCAUUUUAGAGCCUAUGAGAAGAAACUAUUGAUAAUGCCAGAGUAUCCAAAAAGUGAAAACAAAAGGCCUCUCCAUUGGGGAUUCUGCCUGACUUCAUUCUAAAGGAAGCAGGGGACAGGAAAAGGAGAUGGGGAAAAGAUCUGCCAACAUCCAACUAGUCAUCCUACAUAACCAGAUUUUAAAAGAAAAAGAAGCAAAACAAUCACUCAACAAAACUAAUCAAUACAUUGGAAAAGGGGGAAAAUCUGAAACUACAUGUAGUGUUCUACAUCUGCAGGUCUCCCACUUCUCAGAGAGAGGUAAAGGAGGUAUCUUCUCAUAUCUUUUCUUUGGGGCAAUGUUUUUUGGGGAUAAUUUUGCAACAUUCACUUUUAAUUUCAUG